UACGUAGGUGGCAAGCGUUGUCCGGAUUUACUGGGCGUAAAGGGCGUGCAGGCGGUUUUGUUAAGUGCAGGGUGAAAGCUCCCGGCUCAACUGGGAGAGGUCCCGUUGCAUACUGGCAAACUCGAGGGAGGCAGAGGAAAGUGGAAGUUCCCGGUGUAGUGGUGAUAUGCGUAGAUAUCUGGAGGAACACCGGUGGCGAAGGCGGCAUCCUGGACCAAUAUUGACGCUGAGGAGCGAAAGCCAGGGGAGACAAACGGGG
rnacentral:rRNA from 1 species